AAAUAACAAGCCUCAUAUCUCCUGUAUUUCCUUCAGACUGGGAUCAUGGGCAGACACUCGGCCAUCAUUGUUUUACUAAUGUUGGUCUUAAUAUUUCAAUCACACUGUCGUCUACUUGACACUCAUAAUAGAGAUGAAAGGAAAAUGGGCGUAAGAGCGGAGUACAACACGGAGAUUGAAAAGAGAAACACCGAAGAAGUAGAAGAUUAUGGUGGUGGUCAUAGUUCGCCGGCGCCAGGUCGUGGAAAUUAGAGAAUUUACAUUCGUAUAGGUACUGAAUGAUUACCACUGGCUGAAUGAAUAGACAUAUUCGCAUCACCUUGUAUCAUGGCAAUUGCCAAGCCUACAAAUUUUUAAAUCAUGUAAUUUUAAUUGGUUAUAUUGCUUUUUGUUGGUUUUUUAAUAGACAUCUAAUGAAUAUUUAGUAGAGAAAGAAUAACCCUGGAAGCUUUUUGUUGAGAGCUGAUGCAUGAGCCUCACCGCUAUGCAUUUCAUUUUGACUACCAUGCGUAGUUUGACUGCAAGCUUAGAUUUAAUCUGGAAUUAUUUAUUUUUAGAAAUUUCAGUUAAAAGUGUUGCUAGAAUAAUGCAUAUUGGUGCAUGUUCUAUUUUUAGUUGCAUGAAUAUAAUUAAUUGUAAGGGGCUAUGAGCCUUCGAGUGGGCUAAAAUUUGUUGAGGCCACAGAGAAUCUUAAUGUCAAGGACGACAAACCACUCAAAUUCAUAGGCGAUGGCUAUGAAAGUUGAGGAUCUUAAUGUCAAGGACGACAAACCACUCAAAUUCAUUUGGACUGUGAGAGAAACAGAGAAUGGAUCGAACUCUUGGAAGGGGGCAUUGAGAAUCUGAUCAUAAUAAACAAAAGCUUUAUGUAGAAGUGAGUGAUGUAGGUUAUGAUUGUGGAUAAGAAAAUUGAGAAGAAGAAGAAAAUCAAGGCUCCUGCAGAAACCAAGAACGAGG